AUGAACGCUGGCGGCGUGCCUAAUACAUGCAAGUCGAGCGAACAGACGAGGAGCUUGCUCCUCUGACGUUAGCGGCGGACGGGUGAGUAACACGUGGAUAACCUACCUAUAAGACUGGGAUAACUUCAGGAAACCGGAGCUAAUACCGGAUAAUAUAUUGAACCGCAUGGUUCAAUAGUGAAAGACGGUUUUGCUGUCACUUAUAGAUGGAUCCGCGCCGCAUUAGCUAGUUGGUAAGGUAACGGCUUACCAAGGCAACGAUGCGUAGCCGACCUGAGAGGGUGAUCGGCCACACUGGAACUGAGACACGGUCCAGACUCCUACGGGAGGCAGCAGUAGGGAAUCUUCCGCAAUGGGCGAAAGCCUGACGGAGCAACGCCGCGUGAGUGAUGAAGGUCUUCGGAUCGUAAAACUCUGUUAUUAGGGAAGAACAAAUGUGUAAGUAACUAUGCACGUCUUGACGGUACCUAAUCAGAAAGCCACGGCUAACUACGUG
rnacentral:rRNA from 1 species